rfam:Gossypium arboreum cultivar AKA8401 contig_57218_1, whole genome shotgun sequence.
AACCCAUGAUGAGGGCACCUUAUUAGAAGAUCCUUAAAUCUCUCAUAUACAUCAUAUAAUUUCUUAAGCUCAAUUUGGGUAAAAGAAGAGAUAUUAUUCCUCAACUU